AAUCAUGUGAUCUCUCUCCUCUCUGUGCGCUGGUCAGUCAAAGACCAAGGAUGUGAAUGGCCAGUGUUCACAUGAAAGACACACAAGUGGGCCAAUCAUGUGAUCUCUCUUCUCUCUAUGGGCCGAACAAGAAACAAUAACAAUAAAGCUUUC